AACGAACGCUGGCGGCAGGCCUAACACAUGCAAGUCGAGCGCCCUUUCGGGGGAUCGGUGGACGGGUGAGUAACGCGUGGGAAUAUGACCAUGUCUACGGCAUAGCCUCGGGUUUCUGAGAGUAUUACGGAAUACGACCUGAGGGGGUAAGGUAUAUCGGGGUAGGAUUAGGCCGCGGUGGAUUAGGUGGUUGGGGGGGUCAUGGCCUGCCAAGCCGACGAUCCAUAGCUGGUUUGAGAGGCUGAUCAGCCACACUGGGACUGAGACACGGCCCAGACUCCUACGGGAGGGAGCAGUGGAGAAUCUUAGACAAUGGGGGCAACCCUGAUCUCGCCAUGCCGCGUGAGUGAUGAAGGCCUUAGGGAUGUAAAGCUCUUUCAGCUGGGGAGAUAAUGACGGUACCAGCAGAAGAAGCCCCGGCUAACUCCGUG
rnacentral:rRNA from 1 species